rnacentral:rRNA from 1 species
GAUGAACGCUGGCGGCGUGCCUAAUACAUGCAAGUCGAGCGAACGGACGAGAAGCUUGCUUCUCUGAUGUUAGCGGCGGACGGGUGAGUAACACGUGGAUAACCUACCUAUAAGACUGGGAUAACUUCGGGAAACCGGAGCUAAUACCGGAUAAUAUUUUGAACCGCAUGGUUCAAAAGUGAAAGACGGUCUUGCUGUCACUUAUAGAUGGAUCCGCGCUGCAUUAGCUAGUUGGUAAGGUAACGGCUUACCAAGGCAACGAUGCAUAGCCGACCUGAGAGGGUGAUCGGCCACACUGGAACUGAGACACGGUCCAGACUCCUACGGGAGGCAGCAGUAGGGAAUCUUCCGCAAUGGGCGAAAGCCUGACGGAGCAACGCCGCGUGAGUGAUGAAGGUCUUCGGAUCGUAAAACUCUGUUAUUAGGGAAGAACAUAUGUGUAAGUAACUGUGCACAUCUUGACGGUACCUAAUCAGAAAGCCACGGCUAACUACGUGCCAGCAGCCGCGGUAAUACGUAGGUGGCAAGCGUUAUCCGGAAUUAUUGGGCGUAAAGCGCGCGUAGGCGGUUUUUUAAGUCUGAUGUGAAAGCCCACGGCUCAACCGUGGAGGGUCAUUGGAAACUGGAAAACUUGAGUGCAGAAGAGGAAAGUGGAAUUCCAUGUGUAGCGGUGAAAUGCGCAGAGAUAUGGAGGAACACCAGUGGCGAAGGCGACUUUCUGGUCUGUAACUGACGCUGAUGUGCGAAAGCGUGGGGAUCAAACAGGAUUAGAUACCCUGGUAGUCCACGCCGCAAACGAUGAGUGCUAAGUGUUAGGGGGUUUCCGCCCCUUAGUGCUGCAGCUAACGCAUUAAGCACUCCGCCUGGGGAGUACGACCGCAAGGUUGAAACUCAAAGGAAUUGACGGGGACCCGCACAAGCGGUGGAGCAUGUGGUUUAAUUCGAAGCAACGCGAAGAACCUUACCAAAUCUUGACAUCCUUUGACAACUCUAGAGAUAGAGCCUUCCCCUUCGGGGGACAAAGUGACAGGUGGUGCAUGGUUGUCGUCAGCUCGUGUCGUGAGAUGUUGGGUUAAGUCCCGCAACGAGCGCAACCCUUAAGCUUAGUUGCCAUCAUUAAGUUGGGCACUCUAAGUUGACUGCCGGUGGCAAACCGGAGGGAGGUGGGGAUGACGUCGAAUCAUCAUGCCCCUUAUGAUUUGGGCUACACACGUGCUACAAUGGACAAUACAAAGGGCAGCGAAACCGCGAGGUCAAGCAAAUCCCAUAAAGUUGUUCUCAGUUCGGAUUGUAGUCUGCAACUCGACUACAUGAAGCUGGAAUCGCUAGUAAUCGUAGAUCAGCAUGCUACGGUGAAUACGUUCCCGGGUCU